rnacentral:rRNA from 1 species
AUUUAAAAGUAAAAAUGUAGACUUGAAUAUUAAUAGUUAUUUUCUUUAAAAUCAAAGAAUUUGGCGGUAAUUUAGUCUUGUUAGAGGAACCUGUUUUAUAAACGAUAAAUCACGCAAUAUCUUACUUAUUUUUGUAAAUAGACUUCAGUUUGUAUACCUUCAUUAUUAAAUAAUUUUGUAAAAAAUAAUUAUUGAGAUUAAUAAUUAAUUUAAAGAUAUUAGAUCAAGGUGCAGCUUAUAAAUAAGUAAAAAUGGGUUACAAUGAUAUAUAAUUAUACGGAUAGUAAAAAGAAUAGUUUAUUUUAAGGUGGAUUUAAUUGUAAGGGUGAUUUUAAUAAGUCUCUCUGAUAUUAGCUCUAAGUUAUGUACAUAUCGCCCGUCACUUUCAUUUAAAAUGAAAUAAGUCGUAACAUA